rnacentral:rRNA from 1 species
CCUACGGGAGGCAGCAGUAGGGAAUCUUCCACAAUGGGCGAAAGCCUGAUGGAGCAACGCCGCGUGGGUGAAGAAGGUCUUCGGAUCGUAAAACCCUGUUGUUAGAGAAGAAAGUGCGUGAGAGUAACUGUUCACGUCUCGACGGUAUCUAACCAGAAAGCCACGGCUAACUACGUGCCAGCAGCCGCGGUAAUACGUAGGUGGCAAGCGUUAUCCGGAUUUAUUUGGCGUAAAGGGAACGCAGGCGGUCUUUUAAGUCUGAUGUGAAAGCCUUCGGCUUAACCGGAGUAGUGCAUUGGAAACUGGGAGACUUGAGUGCAGAAGAGGAGAGUGGAACUCCAUGUGUAGCGGUGAAAUGCGUAGAUAUAUGGAAGAACACCAGUGGCGAAAGCGGCUCUCUGGUCUGUAACUGACGCUGAGGUUCGAAAGCGUGGGUAGCAAACAGGAUUAGAUACCCGAGUAGUC